rnacentral:lncRNA from 1 species
GGAAGAGGAAAAACAAAAAGAAACAAAGCUAGAAAUAAGAAGAGCUAAAAAAAGAAUUUAAAGAAUGGAGGCUGACAUGACGAUUUCAAAUAGGGUAACAAAGAAGCAUUGAAAGUGAUAAUGUCAAAAUUAGCUCACUAAGUGACACCUACAUCACUACAAAAAUUUAGAUUUUUAUCGGGGGUUAUUUUUUCGUUUGUGGCGAUUUUAACUCCCGGAAAGUAU